UACAGAGGUGGCAAGCGUUGUUCGGAAUUACUGGGCGUAAAGCGCGCGCAGGCGGUUCUUCAAGUCAGUGGUGAAAGCCCGGAGCUCAACUCCGGAAAUGCCAUUGAAACUGUAGAACUUGAGGACGAGAGAGGUGAGUGGAAUUCCCAGUGUAGAGGUGAAAUUCGUAGAUAUUGGGAAGAACACCGGUGGCGAAGGCGGCUCACUGGCUCGUUUCUGACGCUCAGGCGCGAUAGCGUGGGGAUCAAACAGG
rnacentral:rRNA from 1 species